UGGGGAAUAUUGGGCAAUGGGCGCAAGCCUGACCCAGCAACGCCGCGUGAAGGACGAAGGCCUUCGGGUUGUAAACUUCUUUGAUCAGGGACGAAAAAAAUGACGGUACCUGAAGAACAAGCCACGGCUAACUACGUGCCAGCAGCCGCGGUAAUACGUAGGUGGCGAGCGUUAUCCGGAUUUACUGGGUGUAAAGGGCGUGUAGGCGGGUCUGCAAGUCGGAGGUGAAAUUCCCGGGCUUAACUCGGGCGGGUCAUCCGAAACUGCGGAGCUUGAGUACGGGAGAGGAUAGUGGAAUUCCUAGUGUAGCGGUAAAAUGCGUAGAUAUUAGGAGGAACACCAGUGGCGAAGGCGGCUAUCUGGACAGUAACUGACGCUGAGGCGCGAAAGCGUGGGGAGCAAACA
rnacentral:rRNA from 1 species